UACGUAGGGCGCAAGCGUUGUCCGGAAUUAUUGGGCGUAAAGGGCUCGUAGGCGGUUUGUCGCGUCGGGAGUGAAAACCUCGGGCUUAACUCGGGGCUUGCUUUCGAUACGGGCAGACUAGAGGUAUGCAGGGGAGAACGGAAUUCCUGGUGUAGCGGUGAAAUGCGUAGAUAUCGGAAGGAACAUCAGUGGCGAAAGCGACUUCCUGGACCAAUACUGACGCUCAUGUGCGAAAGCGUGGGGAGCAAACAGG
rnacentral:rRNA from 1 species